UACGUAGGUGGCAAGCGUUGUCCGGAAUUAUUGGGCGUAAAGCGCGCGCAGGCGGUCCUUUAAGUCUGAUGUGAAAGCCCACGGCUCAACCGUGGAGGGUCAUUGGAAACUGGGGGACUUGAGUGCAGGAGAGAAGAGUGGAAUUCCACGUGUAGCGGUGAAAUGCGUAGAGAUGUGGAGGAACACCAGUGGCGAAGGCGACUCUCUGGGUCGGCCCUGACGCUGAGGCGCGAAAGCGUGGGGAGCGAACGGG
rnacentral:rRNA from 1 species